rnacentral:rRNA from 1 species
UACGAAGUGGGCUAGCGUUGCUCGGAAUCACUGGGCGUAAAGCGCACGUAGGCGGCUUGUUAAGUCAGGGGUGAAAUCCUGGAGCUCAACUCCAGAACUGCCUUUGAUACUGGCGAGCUUGAGUUCGGGAGAGGUGAGUGGAACUGCGAGUGUAGAGGUGAAAUUCGUAGAUAUUCGCAAGAACACCAGUGGCGAAGGCGGCUCACUGGCCCGAUACUGACGCUGAGGUGCGAAAGCGUGGGGAGCAAACAGG